GACGAACGCUGGCGGCGUGCUUAACACAUGCAAGUCGAACGGAAAGGCCCUGCUUUUGUGGGGUGCUCGAGUGGCGAACGGGUGAGUAACACGUGAGUAACCUGCCCUUGACUUUGGGAUAACUUCAGGAAACUGGGGCUAAUACCGGAUAGGAGCUCCUGCUGCAUGGGGGGGGUUGGAAAGUGUCGGCGGUUGGGGAUGGACUCGCGGCUUAUCAGCUUGUUGGUGGGGUAGUGGCUUACCAAGGCUUUGACGGGUAGGCGGCCUGAGAGGGUGACCGGCCACAUUGGGACUGAGAGACGGACCAGACGCCUACGUGAGGCAGCAGUGGGGAAUAUUGCACAAUGGGCGGACGCCAGAGGCAGCAACGCCGCGUGCGGGAUGACGGCUUUCGGGUUAUAAACCGCUUUCGCCGGUGACGAAGCGUGAGUGACGGUAAUGGGUAAAGAAGCACCGGCUAACUACGUG
rnacentral:rRNA from 1 species